rnacentral:rRNA from 1 species
CAAAAACAUCUCCCCUUGAAAAAUGAAUUGGGGGUAGGCCCUGCCCAGUGGAGUAAUUCUAAACGGAAAGGAUAACUUUUAAAGUAGCGUAAUAAUUUGUCCCUUAAUUAGGGUCUGUAUGAAUGGGUUGACGUGGGGUAACUGUCUUAAAAAAAUAAAUUGAAAUUUUCUUCUUAGUGAAAAGCCUGAGAUUAACUUAAAAGACGAGAAGACCCCGUCGAGCUUAAGAGAAAGGGAAAAAAUUUUUUUUCUUUCCAGGUUUGUUGGGGUAAUAGAGGAGAAAUGAAACCUCCAGUAUAUAUUAUAGAUCCACUUAUUGGUGAUAAAAGGAAAAAGUUACCGCGGGGAUAACACCGCAAGCCCUUUUUUAAAAAAAAUAAUAAUAAGGCUGUAAUUU